rnacentral:rRNA from 1 species
UACGAAGGUGGCAAGCGUUGUUCGGAUUCACUGGGCGUACAGGGUGUGUAGGCGGUUUGGUAAGCCUUCUGUUAAAGCUUCGGGCCCAACCCGGAAAGCGCAGAGGGUACUGCCAGGCUAGAGGACGGGAGAGGAGCGCGGAAUUCCCGGUGUAGCGGUGAAAUGCGCAGAUAUCAGGAAGAACACCCGUGGCGAAGGCGGCUCUCUGGGACGGUACUGACGCUGAGACGCGAAAGCGUGGGGAGCGAACAGG